rnacentral:rRNA from 1 species
UACAGAGGGUGCAAGCGUUAAUCGGAAUUACUGGGCGUAAAGCGUGCGUAGACGGUUAUGUAAGUCAGAUGUGAAAGCCCCGGGCUCAACCUGGGAAUUGCAUUUGAGACUGAAUAGCUAGGGUACGGUAGAGGGAAGUGGAAUUUCCGGUGUAGCGGUGAAAUGCGUAGAUAUCAGUCGGAACACCGGUGGCGAAGGCGGCUUCUUGGGCCGUUCCUGACGCUGAUGCGCGAAAGCUGGGGGAGCGAACGGG